rnacentral:rRNA from 1 species
GCAACAGCUCAGAUUUGGAAUCUGGCCUUCGGGUCCGAGUUGUAAUCUGGAGAGGAUGCUUCUGGCGCGGUGCCUUCCGAGUUCCCUGGAACGGGACGCCGGAGAGGGUGAGAGCCCCGUACGGUUGGACAGGUAGCCUUUGUGAAGCUCCUUCGACGAGUCGAGUAGUUUGGGAAUGCUGCUCAAAAUGGGAGGUAAAUUUCUUCUAAAGCUAAAUAUUGGCCAGAGACCGAUAGCGCACAA